CCCACAGAAUUUGAUAGAAACUUUGAGAGCUUGCUCGAGAAGUGGAAAGAGAAGGACGUGGAAUUUCCACCUAGUGGCAAACGGGUGAGUAACACGUGGGUUACCUACCUCUUAGAUGGGGAUACCAAUUGGAAACGAUUGUUAAUACCGAAUGUGAUCUACGGAUUAAAGGAAGCCUUUAAAGCUUCGCUAAGAGAUGGGCCUGCGGUGCAUUAGAUAGUUGGUGGGGUAAGAGCCUACCAAGUCAACGAUGCAUAGCUGAACUGAGAGGUUGAUCGGCCACACUGGGACUGAGACACGGCCCAGACUCCUACGGGAGACAGCAGUUAGGAAUAUUCGUCAAUGGGGGAAACCCUGAACGAGCAAUGCCGCGUGAACGAUGACGGUCCUCUGGAUUGUAAAGUUCUGUUGUUUGGGAAGAACGGCUCUAAUAGGAAAUGAUUAGAGAUUGACUGUACCAUUCAAGAAAGCCACGGCUAACUACGUGCCAGCAGCCGCGGUAAUACGUAGGUGGCGAGCGUUAUCCGGAUUUAUUGGGCGUAAAGCGUCCGCAGCCGGUUUAUUAAGUAUAGAAUAAAACUUCGGGGCUCAACCCCGUCUCGUUCUAUAAACUGAUAGACUAGAGUGUGGUAGAGGCAAGUGGAAUUUCUAGUGUAGCGGUAGAAUGCGUAGAUAUUAGAAGGAACACCAGUGGCGAAGGCGACUUGCUGGGCCAUCACUGACGGUCAGGGACGAAAGCGUGGGGAGCGAAUAGGAUUAGAUACCCUAGUAGUCCACGCCGUANACGAUGAGCACUAAGUGUCGGGCAACCGGUGCUGANGUUAACACAUUAAGUGCUCCGCCUGAGUAGUACGGUCGCAAGGC
rnacentral:rRNA from 1 species